rnacentral:rRNA from 1 species
AGAGUUUGAUCCUGGCUCAGAUUGAACGCUGGCGGCAUGCCUGACACAUGCAAGUCGAACGGUAACAGGUCUUCGGAUGCUGACGAGUGGCGGACGGGUGAGUAAUGCGUAGGAAUCUGUCUUUUAGUGGGGGACAACCCAGGGAAACUUGGGCUAAUACCGCAUGAGCCCUGAGGGGGAAAGCGGGGGAGUCUUCGGACCUCGCGCUAAGAGAAGAGCCUACGUCUGAUUAGCUAGUUGGUAGGGUAAAGGCCUACCAAGGCGACGAUCAGUAGCUGGUCUGAGAGGACGACCAGCCACACUGGGACUGAGACACGGCCCAGACUCCUACGGGAGGCGA